GCGAUGGAUCGGAAACGAAACGUGGAAACGGAUAUCGUUGUUCGAUAAUUAAUAAAAAAUAGAAACCGGUGAAAUUCGGAUUUCUGUCGGAAUCGUGGUCGUGUCGAGUCGGCAUUUCGAACCGAUUGGAAACCGAGACGCGGUGAAAUUCGCGACGAAAUUGGAGUAGGAGCGCUAUCGCGACCGCUCGCAUGCGCGCCUCGAACGUAUCUGUACAGAAGUGAAAGUAGAAAUGUGUAUAGAAAGUGACAUUACACGGGAACGAAUACAAAUCAUAAAGGUAAACACAGCCCGCAAAUGUUCGUUUCGCGUGGUUUGCCCGUUCCGUAAACAAAACAAACGGGCCUCGGUUAAUAUCUUAUCGGUCUCGUGUCUCGUUGUUGUGCGUACGUCGUUGAUAACGUAUCGUUUCCACGGCUGAUACGCAUUUCGUAUUCACGACGUUCACGACAAAGAGAUCCCGUUUCCCGCUGGUCAUCGGGAAGGAAAAAGCUUCGUUUCUUUUCGCACCUGUUUCUUUGUCGUGAUUCACAGACACAAUGGAGAAAAUGGAGCAUCAAGCAUCGAGAUAAACCAAAGAUAAGUAACAAUUUUUUACGAUUCUAAGCGAUAAAGAGUGGCACGAACGACUUUCGAUUUGUUGAACCUGAUUUAAAAUCUUUAUUAUCAUUCUUGCGUGGUCGUGCUAACGCGUAUGGAAUGUUCUUUUAAAAACAUUAGAUUCCUUGAAAAGUUUCUAAAGGUUGGAUAACGAUAUCGGAUAUCUCUAAUAUCGUUACCUUACCCGUCGAUUAUAUAAAAGAACCAUUUCCAUUUGCCCUUAUUCUUUAUCUCUGCCAUUUUUCCUUUCCUCCUUUGAAAUUAGUUCAUUCGUUCCACCUUUCAAGAGUAAUUCUUUCUAUUUCGCAUCAGCAUCACGCGAGUCUCUAAUCUUUCCACCGAUCACCCUUGUAUUCCCCUUCCCGUUGUUCGAAAUCGUUUUCACGGAUAAACUCUCUCUUUCUCUCUUUCGAAGAAGAAGAAGAAGAAGAAGAAGAAUGAUUCGUAGAAAAUUUGCAAGAUGCGUGGAAAAAUUUGAUUUCCACAAGGAGGGUGUACGAUCGAUGGUCGAAAAUUUGAUCCGAGACUCGUCGAAACGAGGUUAGACCUCGGUGGAAAGGGAUUCGUUUCGCAUCCGGUGAACCAAACCGGAGUCUUCCGCCCCCGCAAUCGAGUUUGCGCCACGAUACUGUAUAUGCAUGAGAUUUUCCAAUAUUUUAUUUCGUUUAUCGGUUCCGUGGGCGCAAAGAUUGUGUUUGUUACGAGGAAGAGAAGGGAGGGGGAAGGACCUGGUCGCUUUAACAUCGACCCUUCGCCCCUGCCGGACCGUCGAGUGAACGGAAUUAUCGAGAAUUUUCUCUGGAAACGGAGAGAGAAUUUUGCGUGAAUAUAUGUAUAUAUAUGUUUAAAUAUUAUUCGAAUGGAAAGCAAGGUGGGUUUUGGUUUGGGAAAUAUUCUCUUUAUGGAGACUAAUUACCGGACCCCGUGGACAGUUUUUGUAAUCCGUGCGAUCAAUAUCUAGGGGGGAAUAAAAAGCAAUCGGCACGAGAGAUCGCUUCGAGCGAUGAAACGAGAAAAACCGGAGAUUAUUUUAAUUUUCACCGAUCGUACACCAAUAAUUCAUUAAUAUGGAUACAUAAUUGCAAAUGCGGAAACCGCGAAGCUUAUCGUUGGCCGAUAAUAAAUUUACAUCACGAUUGUAUAUACCCGUGGCCCCGUAAAUAUUUCAUUAAUAAUCCUCUUCGAUAAUGAGUGUCUCGUAAAAUACACAACUGACACGAGAAUUGCCUCAAGAUAAUCAACGGCGACACGUGCCGUAGAUGUUUACGCGAUUCGAUUUCUGCAAGCGCGUCUCAUUUUUCAAGCGAUCAAAAUAGGCGAGGGUUAUUAACAUAUCCAUGAAAGAUUAUGAUGCAUGCUUAUUAAAAUAUAUAAAUAUAUAUAAAUGGAAGAAGUUGGCUCGAUUAAAUAAACCUCGAGCGAGAUAGUUUCUCUUCUAUUUGAAAUAUAUAAUAAAAUUGCUUCGACGAAGAUUUGAAAGACGUGCUAUGAAAAUAAAAUAAAUUUAAAAAAAAAUGACGAUAUCGACUUCUUUGAAUAUAGAAUUUAUUAAUUUUUCGACCAGCUGCUUCGGACAAAUUGUGAAAAAUUCGUAUAAAAAAAGGUACGUGAUUCAUACUGAAUAUUUAAACGUUUUCAAAUACGAAAAAAUGAAUCGAAAAUUAAUAAUUUUUAUAUAUACUAUUUACAUUUCGCACAAUCAUUCGAAUAUUUUAUUUAUUAUUUAUUUAUUUAUUCGUUAUUUAUAGCGUACAUCUGUAAAUUCACGAAGAAUCUAUAUAACAAAAAAAAAAAGAAAAAAGAGAGAAAACUCAAAGAAUAUCAUGGAGGUAUCAAGAUUGUUCGACGUAUGACCAUUAUUAGCAGAUAAGAAAAAGAAAUCGAGAGGAAAACGACGAGGCACAACAAGAAUGGAGAAAGAAUCGAGAUGGUGGAAUAUUUCGGUGGAAGGCGACGAGAGAUCGGUCGCUUUUUCUUAUAAAUUUCGACCGUGUUACAUCACAGAGUGGAUUUAGCUUCUGGAUAAUUUAUCCCGAUCGAGUCAUCGUUCCUUUCUCUUACAGUCGCCGGUUGUGGGUCGAUCUGGUGCGCCACGUCACUCGUUGGAAUUAAUUUUGAUAUAAAUACCUCGUUACAUCACGAACUUACUCCAAUUAUGGGAAAGUAGAAUUUUUCUUUUAAAUUUUUUUUCCACGCGCAGGAACGCGAAAGUUGUGCACCGAUUCGGAUGACAUAUCAAUCGUUGCAAUUAAUUUUGCAAUAGGUACACGUGUUAACGGCGUAUAUAACUCGAACGAUGUUGAAGUGACAGUGCCUCUUAUUCACCACGCCGUAGAGAAGGAUAUGUCCUAGUUUUGAAUGAAGUUUGUUCAUAUAUACCAGGAAUGCGAAAUAUCACUUCAACGAAGAAGAAAUUAAAUAUUAACAUUGUAAUUUUUAAGUAUUUAUCAAUCUUCUUUCCGACAAUCUGUCUUAAUUCAAACUGUUAAUACAUUCCAGAAAAAAAGAAACUAUUUUCGAAAGUAUUUUUUAAAACACACUUGAAGAUAGAUUGACUCGAGGUCCAACUCUCAUUGAUUCUUCCACGAAGUCCAUAUAUAUUACAUUUAUAAAAAAAAAAAAUCGAAUACCAAUAAAAAUAUUAAUAUUAACACCUGAGCAAUAAGUACAAUAAAACAGGUAAGCACACAAAACUUGAAAAAAAAAAAAAUGUUUCAUUUCUCGAUAAAAUUAAACGAUAUUUCCAGCAAAAACGUUCAGCAAAUGGACAACGUCGUUCGUCGGAAUUGCGGCCAGUUUUCCAGUUACAGAACUGGUCCAAAUCCCUUUCCCCCCCCUUCCCUUCUACGACGACAAUUACCGGAAGAGUUUAUCGCGGGGAACGGCGAACGAAAGCAAGAUUCUCCCCCUCGGGCGCGGCUGCUCUUCAAAGGGACACACGGGGAGGAGGGGGAGAGGGUUGGAAAAAAAAAACGAGGGAUAAGAAACAGACGUUUCCUUUGUUUACCAAGGAACGCUUUGUUCGUGGCCCCGGGCGAGGCGGGAGAGGAGGGUAUGUUUAAUUUUUCGCACGCAAACCCGGUUCACCCGGGUUGACGCGAGACGCCACUCGUGCCAUGCUUGAAAUUCUCGUCACAAUGGUGUUUGCUCCAGGUUCGCGGCCGAACAUUCGCGCUGUUUCCUGGCUGCAUUUACCCGAUGUCAGAAAGGGUUAAUUAGCAUGUGGGAGCAAUUGCAUUUUGUACCGAAGAAGGAUCCAAGAAGAUCCACGGUAGAUACAGAUCGACGAGAUUUUUUUUUUUCAAUUUCGGCGACAUCCUCGCAUCAAGAGAACGAGGAAACGUGUCGGCGAUAGAUGUAAAUCUAUCCAGGUACAUUCCUCGUCCACGACCGUUUGAAUCUCAUUAACACGGUGAAUGUGAAGGUUAUUAGCGAAGGUUUCCACCAAUCUCCGCCAAGUUGUGCGACAAUCGCGUUAUGUAAUCGACAGCCGGGUGAUUAAUGGGUGAAUUUGUUGUGUCGGAUCGAUUGCACGAUCGUCGAAUUAAAUGUCAAACCGAGCUCGGACAGAAGUGGUUGAUUUCUCUCCGAUCCUCGAUUUCGCAAUUGGCGCAUCGCGUGCAAUUUUACAGAUUCGAUUUCGUUUGAUCGUUGGACAUGACAAUUGGAAAAUUUCUUCUUCUCUGAUUAUUCGAGACACGAUAAUUCUUCCUAAAAAAAAAAAAAAAUAAAAGAAAAGAAAAAAAACGUCACGAGCAAUUUAAGAAUCUGUUAACGACAAACGUAUACGUUGGUUGUUAACGGAUGGAAAAUGCACGGGUAUGGAAAUAAUCUGUAUCAUUUCGCACGCGAGUGUUGGAAGAUAAAUAGAUGUAUCCGCGGUGAUUGCGCAUACGUUCUUGAACCGCGAUUUCGUGGCUGUCGCGAUUAAAAUGCGCUGGAUUGGCCGCGCAUGCAUAUACAUGAGACACAUAACAGUCGGUUGAAUUACACGGAGAAUUGACGCACGUUCCCGGUUUAAAACAAACGGCGUGACAAUGGGCGAGAAACGCGGGGAACACGGGGGGGCCUCGUGGAAAUUUUCGAGAGUGUUGCGUUUGGGACGUAAUACGUAAGCGUACAAUACGUUUUGGAGGACGAUCGAAUUUUAUCCAUCUCCAUCAUUUUUCCCUAGAUUCGUUAAUUUAAAAUCGAUUUAAAAUCGACGUUCUAAAAUUAGAAAAUUAAUGUAAUUUUUGAUAUUUGGUUAAUCGAGUAAGAAAGGGUCUUCAUUUUGUAUCUUGUAUAACGUUGCUUUGUUUAAGUAGACAUGUAGUAUUAAGUAAUCUCAGCAAUUUCGUCAAUUGGUAAUGUGAUGGCAAUUUAAUAGAACAGCGAUUCUUUCCAUAUUUUUCCAUAUUUUUUGCCAUACAAUGUGUCUAAUUCUCUUC